UUCUCAAGCUGCUGCAGAACUCGACUGCCAUUGAAAUGUGCAAAAGAAAAAUUUCCUGGCAUCUUAAAAAAAAUGUCGAAGUCAGUUACUCCACAAGCCCUGUUUGUAAGAGUCCUUGAAAAGAGAAGCAUCAGUUUUCCAAUAUGAAGUAAAUGGAGGGUCUGGAGUUGCUUCUGUUGGCCAUCAAUUUCCUGUGGUGCAGAGGGGCUACAAAUAUAAUACAGAUUAAACUCCCUGCAGGAAGUCUCUUAUGGAUAAGAACAAGUUCAGGUUCCCAUUGGGGAUGACAGAGCUGGUGCUCAGGUCAUCAACAUCCUGCUGAACCUAUGAGAAAGCAUUUGGGACAACUUGACAAUGCAUGGUGAGUCAGAAAGUUUGCUUUUUGAUUCAACUAUUUAAAAUUCCCUAUUAUUUUCUUUGUUUUUGGCUGCCUUUUGCUUAAUUGUCUUGUCAGCUGUCCUAAGCCUGACAGCCAUAUGAGGUCAAGCAGAAAAACUGAACUGGGGAAAUAAUCAUAGUUCUUCAAUGGAUUGUUUCUGAAAACUGAAUAUGAGGAGAGAAUAUUCAUAGGUAUGGCAUAACUUCCAUUUUGUAGCUGGAAGAAAUCAUACCCCCAAAUUAUGACAAUUUAUAGAAUUAUGAGUUGAAUGUUUGUGUAAGUAUAUGCCUUCAUAUUUUUAAACAUGUAUAGGCUGCAUUAUUUUCUGCCAAUAAAUUUUAUGGCCCAUGAGGAGGUUAUGCUGUACAUUCUUCAGACAGAGAAGCGAAGGGCUUCUGAAGAAAACCUGAACAGAGAGAGAAGGAUUUGCUCCACCUAAAAAUAAUUUUCCAAAGACAGAAAGAAAAGAUAGGUGUCCAUGGCAUUGUGGAGUAGUGGGGGCUUGUGUCUUGCUCCUCUGCGAAGUUUAAGAAAUCUUGUUCACACAAAUAGG
rnacentral:lncRNA from 10 species